AACCAUAGAAACCUGCGGAGUACCUGCGGAAGGAUCAUUACAGAGUUGCAAAACUCCCUAAACCAUUGUGAACGUUACCUAAACCGUUGCUUCGGCGGGCGGCCCGGGUCCCUCCCGGCGCCCAUCGGCCCUCGCGGGCGCCCGCCGGAGGUAAACCAAACUAUUGCAUUGUAUGGCCUCUCUGAGUCUUCUGUACUGAAUAAGUCAAAACUUUUAACAACGGAUCUCAGAUCGGAAGAG
rnacentral:misc_RNA from 1 species